UACGGAGGUCCCAAGCGUUGUUCGGAUUCACUGGGCGUAAAGGGUGCGUAGGCGGUCGGGUAAGUCUGAUGUGAAAUCUCACAGCUUAACUUUGAAACUGCAUUGGAUACUAUCCGGCUCGAGGAAUGGAGGGGAGACUGGAAUACUUGGUGUAGCAGUGAAAUGCGUAGAUAUCAAGUGGAACACCAGUGGCGAAGGCGAGUCUCUGGACAUUUCCUGACGCUGAGGCACGAAAGCCAGGGGAGCAAACGGG
rnacentral:rRNA from 1 species